GCUUAGACAGACAUGUACGAGACUCGUUCUAUGUUAAAAUGCUACGUUUAUGCUUCCUUUGGACUUGAUUAGAAUAACUUAUAACCCUAGCCGGCUAGCCCUCCCAAAUCUCCGAUUCUCUCAAUCUCCCUCAACGUUACAGCCUCAGCCGGUCAGCCCUUAGGAACCUCACCGCCUCACGCACCGGCACGGCCUCAAAGGUGAGUCAGGUGAUCGAGAAGCGGCGCUGCGGCAGUCGGAAGCUUCGCUCCCUGCUACGGUGCAGACUAGGAUUAGUAGGAGAGGGGAGAGCCUUCCGAAGAACUGAAGAAGCAGCCAUCGCAGGCACGCAGCACGAAGGCACGCCCGUCGCCGUCUUCCUGUCGCAGCCUACGCCCGUCGCUCGUCACCGUUGGCCCGUCGCAGCCUCGCCCUCGCAGCUUCGCAGCCUAGCGGACUCCCGACCCCCGUCGAACCUCUCUCCCAGCCUCCCACUGCUCUCAUAUUUUGUGGUAUAUUAUGACACUGGUAAAGGUUCAGAAAGGGAGGGAGAGAGGGACAAUGAAGGUUCCUAAGGAGAAGAAGGUGAAGAAGCAGAAGGAUAGAGUUACCGAUCAAGUAGACCCACUGAACAACAAAGAGGAGAAGAAGAAGCAGAAGAAUAGAGAAGACGCAGUAGAGCACAGAGAAGAAGGACCAAGUGAGUCUGAUCUACAUGAUAAGAGUUUUUUUGAUGGUGAUGACCCAUUGAGUUCAAUAUCAGGAGAAAGCUCAAGCUCAGAAAAUGAGGAAUUUCUUAACACAGGAGAUGAGGAUAGCUUGGAUUAUGAUGAUGGUCAAGAAGAUGGCGACAAAAGUUCUGAAUCCCAUCAAGCAGUUGAAGAGAGUGAUUCUUCUGAAGAUGAGGUUGAUCCUCGAAACACAAUUGGGGAUGUUCCUUUAGAGUGGUAUAAAGAUGAGGAACAUGUUGGCUAUGAUAUUGCUGGGAAGAAGAUAAAAAAGAAAGUCAAACAAGAUAAGUUGGAUUCAUUCCUAGCCAGUGCUGAUGACUCAAAAAAUUGGCGCAAGAUUUAUGAUGAGUAUAAUGACGAGGAAGUAGAGCUGACAAAACACGAGGCCAAACUUGUCCGUAGAUUGCUCAAGGGGAAGGCACCGCAUGCAGACUUUGAUCCAUAUGCGCCUUACAUUGAUUGGUUCACGUGGGAUGAUGCUAAACAUCCACUCUCAAAUGCACCAGAACCAAAGCGGCGUUUCAUUCCUUCAAAAUGGGAAAGUAAAAAGGUGGUUAAGUAUAUCAGGGCUAUUCGGAAGGGGCUAAUAAAGCUUGACAAACCAAAAGAAGAAGAACGUUUCUAUCUCUUGUGGGGGGAUGAUUCCAGCUCAACAGAGAAGUCCAGGCAGGGAUUAGCUUACAUUCCUGCACCAAAAGCGACAUUGCCAGGCCACGAGGAAUCUUAUAACCCUUCAUUGGAAUAUAUCCCAACACAGGAAGAGAUAAAUUCUUAUCAGCUAAUGUACGAGGAAGACCGCCCUAAAUUCAUCCCCAAAAGAUUUACUUCUUUAAGGAGUGUCCCAGCCUAUGAAAAUGCUGUUAAGGAGUCCUUUGAGCGUUGUUUAGACCUGUACUUGUGCCCUAGAGCCCGGAAGAAACGUAUCAAUAUUGAUCCUGAAUCUUUGAAGCCCAAGCUACCAAGCCGAAAAGAUCUUAAGCCUUAUCCCCAGACAUGCUAUAUAGAGUAUAGAGGCCAUAAGGGUGCAGUUAUGUCAAUUUCUACUGAAGUUUCAGGGCAGUGGAUUGCAUCUGGUUCGGUUGAUGGAACUGUCCGCAUGUGGGAUGUUGCAACUGGUAGAUGCGUUACAGUUUGGGAUGUUGGUGAAGCUGUCCAGCAUGUGGCAUGGAAUCCCCUGCCUGAGCUUCCUAUCUUAGCAGUCUCACUGGGGCAGGAUGUACUAAUCAUAAACACUGGAUUAGGGAAUGAUGAACAGAAGAAAAAAAUUGAAGAACUACUGCAUCUUGAGACAUCUACUGCACCGGAUGAGUCUGAAAAUAGUGUGCCCUUAGUGACAUGGGCUCGAGAUGACAUGCAUGGAGGAGUCCGAUUAAAGCAUUUUAAGACCGUGUCUUCUGUUGAAUGGCAUCGCAAAGGCGAUUACUUCUCUACAGUGAUGCCAGCUGGCGAAUCAAGAGCAAUAUUGAUACAUCAACUCACAAAAAAACUGACCCAAAAAAUUCCAUUCAAGUUACAUGGGCUUCCAGUUUCAUCGGUUUUCCAUCCAUCACGUUCAAUUUUCUUUGUUUCGACUAAGAAAAUUAUUCGCGUUUAUGAUUUGUUGAAACAAAAGCUUAUUAAGAAGCUUGAUACUGGACUUCAUGAAGUCUCCUCCAUUGCCGUCCAUCCUGCAGGUGAUAAUAUAAUUAUCGGGAGCAAAGAAGGAAAACUCUGCUGGUUUGACAUGGACCUGUCAUCUAAGCCUUACAGAAUUCUCAAGUGUCACCCGAAAGACAUUACCAAUGUGGCUUUCCAUCGUUUGUAUCCACUAUUUGCUUCAUGCUCUGAUGAUUGCACGGCCUAUGUUUUUCAUGGCAUGGUUUAUUCGGAUCUUAACCAGAACCCCCUCAUUGUUCCAUUGGAAAUCCUUCGAGGGCAUGCCAGCACAAAUGGGAGAGGGGUACUGGACUGUAAGUUCCAUCCGAGGCAACCUUGGUUAUUCACUGCUGGCGCUGACUCGGUUGUCAAGCUGUAUUGCCAUUAAGAAGAAAAAUUAAAGUUGUGUGAUGGCAGUUCAGCCAUUGAUGCGAUUUUGGGGUAUCUCAAUGCGAGAGCGAACUCUGGAAGCUGUAUUACUAAUAGAAAGCAGUCUAAUUGUUAAUCAUAAAAUUUUCCGUGUGGGAGGUGGUUGAGGGUUGGGGAAGCGAGUUUGACAAUUUCAUAACGAUCAAAAGUUUUGAGGUUGCCUCGGGAGUAUGAAUCAGAAAGAAGCAAAUUAGUUUAAUUAUAUCUAUUAUUACACUGCUGGCAGGCUGCAAUUGCUAGAUUUGUUUUUUUCAAGUUCUUGUUUGAGAAAAGGGAAAAAAUUGAAAAGUUAUUUUUAAAAUUAUAUUUUCUUUAUAUAUUACUGUUAAGAAUGAAUUUUUGUUUUGACAAUUUGAAGACUAGUAACACAUAGAAUUAAUUUCUUAA